GACAGGCAACAUUGAGUAUGUUCCUUAUGUGCUUGAACACAUUAUACUAUUUGGGGAGCCAGCCACAGCAUGCUAUACUCCGUUUGGUCGCAGCUCUUGGUCGGAAGCCACUUCUCAAUAAAGAUACAGAAAGUUCACUUGGUAUUUAGUUUAUAAAGGGACUCCACAAUUUUCUGAAUCAUGCACAACAAUAUCAUGUCUUUGUAUGUCUAUGUACCAAUUCACUGAUUGCAACACACGGGGCAUUGAGUCUAUGUGAAAGACAUCUUUCUUGCAAAAAUGCAGAAUAAUCAUUCAGUUGUUCAUCCCAGGGAAUCAGGGGAGUGCUCCCUGUGAUGUUGCAAGUUGGUAUCAUUUCAUUCGCCCCUUUUGAAGGAAAAUAAAAAAACAAGAGGCACACCUUGGCCAGACUUCGAGGAUUCCUACGACGGUGUGGUAAUGAAUGGGUACGGGUUGCCCGACCAGCGCGAGGGGGAAUGAGGAGACAUGCCAGCAGACAUGAGGGCAAACAAGCAGCGGCGAACGAUGGCGUUGGGUGGCGCCGCCCUGGGUUUCAUCUUCGACAGCGCAAUGAAGGGGUUGCACCCUGGCAGAAAGUACUUCUACAAGGUAGUGACAUGGUGAAUGGUGACUACUGUUGCCACAUAUGAAUAUCUGAAGGAUAUAUACAUGACCGGCUUGCCUGAGCAAACAAGUAGCGGUAUAGGAAUAUUGAUUUGGCAACUCUGAGUUAUUUCCAUUCAAAAUCGGUGUAUAAGCUUUUGUAUGCCAUCAAAUGUGGAAAUUGGCUUCAACUAACAUUGUUAAGUUCUUGCUGA